rnacentral:misc_RNA from 1 species
AAAAAAAAAGAAAAAGAAAAAAAGUGUGCCGACGUGCCGUUUAAAGCUGGAUGGAGGGCAAAUGGUCCCAUAUUAUAUGCUAGCUGUUGCAGUCAUUGACGCAAUGUUUGAUCUUUUGGUUUAAAAAUUUAGAAAAAGAAAAUAUAUACCACGUGUUGGCUUCUUUGUUUAGGAUUACUGUUGAUAGAUUUGUUGUUAAAAAAUAGAUAUAUAUUUUUUUAAAUAUAUUUAAACUGCAAUUCUGCGCAAAUUCUUUGUUUAAAAGAGUUAUCUAAAUGCGG